GAUGUACGCUGGCGGCGUGCCUAAUACAUGCAAGUCGAGCGAACAGAUGAGAAGCUUGCUCCUCUGACGUUAGCGGCGGACGGGUGAGUAACACGUGGAUAACCUACCUAUAAGACUGGGAUAACUUCGGGAAACCGGAGCUAAUACCGGAUAAUAUAUUGAACCGCAUGGUUCAAUAGUGAAAGACGGUUUUGCUGUCACUUAUAGAUGGAUCCGCGCUGCAUUAGCUAGUUGGUAAGGUAACGGCUUACCAAGGCAACGAUGCAUAGCCGACCUGAGAGGGUGAUCGGCCACACUGGAACUGAGACACGGUCCAGACUCCUACGGGAGGCAGCAGUAGGGAAUCUUCCGCAAUGGGCGAAAGCCUGACGGAGCAACGCCGCGUGAGUGAUGAAGGUCUUCGGAUCGUAAAACUCUGUUAUUAGGGAAGAACAUAUGUGUAAGUAACUGUGCACAUCUUGACGGUACCUAAUCAGAAAGCCACGGCUAACUACGUG
rnacentral:rRNA from 1 species